AUGAUCACACAUAUACCGAUUGGGAAAGCACAGGAUGAUUUCUGGGCAUGGUCCCUGGAUCGAUUUGGGAAUUUCUCAGUGCGUUCAGCAUACAAGCUGAUGGUCGCGUUACGGCGUGAUACAGUUUCAGCAUCAAGCUCAGAGGGGCAGGAGAGGGGGUUCUGGAGGAAACUGUGGCGACUCCCAGUACCGCUGAAGGUAAGAAAUUUUUGGUGGAGGGUGAUCAAAGGGUAUGUCCCAACUCAAGCUGUUCUCUGCGGGAGACAUAUUGAGCGAAUAGCAUUCUGUGAAGCUUGUGGCCAAGAGGAAAGCAUCCGCCAUGCCUUGUUUGACUGUACUUGGGCAAAAUUAUUCUGGCAGGAGGUCAAGCAAGCUACGUCAGUUAAGAUACCAGUGUUAAGUCAUGAAACAUGGGCUGUGGAUAUGGUGGAUCAUGACAAGGUUAAGCAGUCAGAUGCAUGUGUAAUUCUAUGUGGUGCCUGGGCUGUCUGGACAGAAAGAAAUGCACGCACACACGGUGAGACCACAAGAUCCUUGAUGCAAUCAGCUAAAAGGACAACAGAUGUUGCUGCUGAUCUAGCGGCGACUGGAAAAAAGAUGACAACAGUCGCCAAUAAGGAGGUACAGAGAUGGAAGCCGCCGGACCAAGCCACCCUCAAGAUAAAUGUAGAUGGCUCGUUUCAAGAGGACUCCCAUCAGGGAGGCACAUGA
rnacentral:rRNA from 1 species